AUUGAACGCUGGCGGCAGGCCUAACACAUGCAAGUCGAACGGUAACAGGAAACAGCUUGCUGUUUCGCUGACGAGUGGCGGACGGGUGAGUAAUGUCUGGGAAACUGCCUGAUGGAGGGGGAUAACUACUGGAAACGGUAGCUAAUACCGCAUAACGUCGCAAGACCAAAGAGGGGGACCCUCGGGCCUCUUGCCAUCGGAUGUGCCCAGAUGGGAUUAGCUUGUUGGUGGGGUAACGGCUCACCAAGGCGACGAUCCCUAGCUGGUCUGAGAGGAUGACCAGCCACACUGGAACUGAGACACGGUCCAGACUCCUACGGGAGGCAGCAGUGGGGAAUAUUGCACAAUGGGCGCAAGCCUGAUGCAGCCAUGCCGCGUGUAUGAAGAAGGCCUUCGGGUUGUAAAGUACUUUCAGCGGGGAGGAAGGGAGUAAAGUUAAUACCUUUGCUCAUUGACGUUACCCGCAGAAGAAGCACCGGCUAACUCCGUGCCAGCAGCCGCGGUAAUACGGAGGGUGCAAGCGUUAAUCGGAAUUACUGGGCGUAAAGCGCACGCAGGCGGUUUGUUAAGUCAGAUGUGAAAUCCCCGGGCUCAACCUGGGAACUGCAUCUGAUACUGGCAAGCUUGAGUCUCGUAGAGGGGGGUAGAAUUCCAGGUGUAGCGGUGAAAUGCGUAGAGAUCUGGAGGAAUACCGGUGGCGAAGGCGGCCCCCUGGACGAAGACUGACGCUCAGGUGCGAAAGCGUGGGGAGCAAACAGGAUUAGAUACCCUGGUAGUCCACGCCGUAAACGAUGUCGACUUGGAGGUUGUGCCCUUGAGGCGUGGCUUCCGGAGCUAACGCGUUAAGUCGACCGCCUGGGGAGUACGGCCGCAAGGUUAAAACUCAAAUGAAUUGACGGGGGCCCGCACAAGCGGUGGAGCAUGUGGUUUAAUUCGAUGCAACGCGAAGAACCUUACCUGGUCUUGACAUCCACGGAAGUUUUCAGAGAUGAGAAUGUGCCUUCGGGAACCGUGAGACAGGUGCUGCAUGGCUGUCGUCAGCUCGUGUUGUGAAAUGUUGGGUUAAGUCCCGCAACGAGCGCAACCCUUAUCCUUUGUUGCCAGCGGUCCGGCCGGGAACUCAAAGGAGACUGCCAGUGAUAAACUGGAGGAAGGUGGGGAUGACGUCAAGUCAUCAUGGCCCUUACGACCAGGGCUACACACGUGCUACAAUGGCGCAUACAAAGAGAAGCGACCUCGCGAGAGCAAGCGGACCUCAUAAAGUGCGUCGUAGUCCGGAUUGGAGUCUGCAACUCGACUCCAUGAAGUCGGAAUCGCUAGUAAUCGUGGAUCAGAAUGCCACGGUGAAUACGUUCCCGGACCU
rnacentral:rRNA from 1 species